GCCAGUUCCUGCUCUAACGCUUAUGUAGUUGUAACUGAGUUCUAACACGGCCUUGGAUGUUUCUGUUCUAAAUAGCUGACAUUGCAUCUUCAACACUGUAUUGAGACGGAGACAGAGAGACAGAGAAGGAAAGAAACCACAGUUCUGAGGCUUCCUCCAAUGUCAUCAUGCAGUUGUACCAGUCUUCAGACCUGAUCUCUAUUUUUGUCUUCAAACAAUUUCUGUAUUCUACAUUCUAUGCUCUAGCGAUAUCUUUGGAAGUACAAGGAAUUUUGGUAAAGAAAAUGAAAUCCAGUCUACGGACAUACCACCUUGACUAUGCCUGAUCUUGGAAGCUAAGCAGGGUUGGGCCUGAUUAGUACUUGGACGGGAAAAAAUGAAUCUCAUAGGUAAUAAAU